GUUGUUCUUGGGAUAGUUAAACAUUUUGCAAACCACAUCUUUAUUCGCGCAUUUAAUUAAAGGUACUGCCUUCGGGCAGGCGUUGUAGGGUGCUAACACCUUCCCUACGCGUAACCGACUCCCGAACCCAAUCUUUGGUUUUCGUGGACCGUGACUUCUCUUUAUGGUUUUUUCCAUAGUUUUCCAGAAUAAACUAUGGUGGCGACUCCAAAAAAAAAUUUCUUAAAAAUGUUUUCUUUUUUGGAUCGUCGUCCCGUCGCGAUUUUCCGGUUGCGACAGAUGGCGACUCCACUGGGGAUGUCUAUGUGAGAGUCAGGCCAUCUAAAUAAAUGCGCGAAUUUCAAUGUGGUUUUGCUUUAUGUUUUUCUUCCCCUUUUCUUUAUCUAUGUUUGAUGUUUGAAUAAUCGCGUGUGAGUAACUUUAUUUGUGGAUAUUGAACCUUAGGAUAGACAAUAUGUUUAUAUCUGCCUGGGAAUUUUUCUGGUUGUUUUGCAGGUGAGGGUUUGGAUGUGCAUGAUGUUCUCCCUUCACACACACACACUUUCGGCAUAUCAUGAGUGGGGCCCUAUACCCGGGUCUGAGUGUAACUUAGAAUUAGAGGAGUUGUGUAGCGGUGUCACUCUGGGAUGUACUUCCUGUUUGGCUAUCGUGAGAACUUCAGGUCUGUUCUCUUCAUGUGUGUUUCCACACCUAGUUGAUUACUCAACUGUUGUGGAGAUGCUUUGAAGGGGGCCAUAGCUCUAGUGACCUUUGACCUUUAGGUUUAGGGAACC
rnacentral:lncRNA from 1 species